rnacentral:rRNA from 1 species
GACGAACGCUGGCGGCGUGCUUAACACAUGCAAGUCGAACGGAAAGGCCCUGCUUUUGUGGGGUGCUCGAGUGGCGAACGGGUGAGUAACACGUGAGUAACCUGCCCUUGACUUUGGGAUAACUUCAGGAAACUGGGGCUAAUACCGGAUAGGAGCUCCUGCUGCAUGGUGGGGGUUGGAAAGUUUCGGCGGUUGGGGAUGGACUCGCGGCUUAUCAGCUUGUUGGUGGGGUAGUGGCUUACCAAGGCUUUGACGGGUAGCCGGCCUGAGAGGGUGACCGGCCACAUGGGGACUAAGAUACGGCCCAGACUCCUACGGGAGGCAGCAGUGGGGAAUAUUGCACGAUGGGCGGAAGCCUGAUGCAGCAACGCCGCGUGCGGGAUGACGGCCUUCGGGUUGUAAACCGCUUUCGCCUGUGACGAAGCGUGAGUGACGGUAAUGGGUAAAGAAGCACCGGCUAACUACGUG